AUUGAACGCUGGCGGAAUGCUUUACACAUGCAAGUCAAACGGCAGCACGGACUUCGGUCUGGUGGCGAGUGGCGAACGGGUGAGUAAUGUAUCGGAACGUGCCCAGUCGUGGGGGAUAACGUAGUGAAAAUUACGCUAAUACCGCAUACGAUCUAUGGAUGAAAGCGGGGGAUCGCAAGACCUCGCGCGAUUGGAGCGGCCGAUAUCAGAGUAGGUAGUUGGUGGGGUAAAGGCCCACCAAGCCAACGAUCUGUAGCUGGUCUGAGAGGACGACCCGCCACACUGGAACUGAGACACGGUCCAGACUCCUACGGGAGGCAGCAGUGGGGAAGUUUGGACAAUGGGCGAAAGCCUGAUCCAGCCAUUCCGCGUGCAGGAUGAAGGCCCUCGGGUUGUAAACUGCUUUUGUACAGAACGAAAAGGUUUCUACUAAUACUAGGAGCUCAUGACGGUACUGUAAGAAUAAGCACCGGCUAACUACGUGCCAGCCGCCGCGGUAA
rnacentral:rRNA from 1 species